AAUCCUCUGAGGAGGGCCAAGAGAGGCUUUGGAGGGCGCAGCAAAUAUUUCGAGGCAGUGCUUCAGUGUCCAGCAGAGCACAUGAGGAAUGGAGAGGUCAGCUCUUGUCUCUAAUCAUGGCCUUAAAAGACCCUGGACAGUCUUCGCAAAAUCACGUCCCAAUAUUUAGAAGACAACACUGAGGUUCAGCAAGGUUUUAGAGGAUCUGCCCGAGAUCAACGAGGGCUUUCUCAGUCCCAGCCUCUCUCGGCUGUUCCCCGUCUGCUGGGGAAACUCGUUGCUGCCCCUCUGUAAGCUCUGUUUCCUCAGCAAAAUCCGUAUUUCUCAAGAGUUGUGGUGAUGUCUUUCAGCCUAUGUCCCAGCCGGUCUUAUCUCUCGGUCUGGGGCUGCCUCUCAUUCCCCAGUAUCUGGCAUGCAGCAAGAGUUCAACAAAUACUGGCUUUUAUUGGAUAUU